rnacentral:rRNA from 1 species
UACGUAGGGCGCAAGCGUUAUCCGGAAUUAUUGGGCGUAAAGAGCUCGUAGGCGGUUUGUCGCGUCUGCCGUGAAAGUCCGGGGCUCAACUCCGGAUCUGCGGUGGGUACGGGCAGACUAGAGUGAUGUAGGGGAGACUGGAAUUCCUGGUGUAGCGGUGAAAUGCGCAGAUAUCAGGAGGAACACCGGUGGCGAAGGCGGAUCUCUGGGCCAUUACUGACUCUGAGGAGCGAAAGCGUGGGGAGCGAACAGG